rnacentral:rRNA from 1 species
UAGGGAAUUUUCCACAAUGGGCGAAAGCCUGAUGGAGCAACGCCGCGUGAACGAAGAAGGUCUUCGGAUUGUAAAGUUCUGUUGUCAGGGACGAACAAGUACCGUUCGAACAGGGCGGUACCUUGACGGUACCUGACGAGAAAGCCACGGCUAACUACGUGCCAGCAGCCGCGGUAAUACGUAGGUGGCAAGCGUUGUCCGGAAUUAUUGGGCGUAAAGCGCGCGCAGGCGGCUAUGUAAGUCGGGUGUUAAAGCCCGGGGCUCAACCCCGGUACGCACCCGAAACUGCGUGGCUUGAGUGCAGGAGAGGAAAGCGGUAUUCCACGUGUAGCGGUGAAAUGCGUAGAGAUGUGGAGGAACACCAGUGGCGAAGGCGGCUUUCUGGCCUGUAACUGACGCUGAGGCGCGAAAGCGUGGGGAGCAAACA